rnacentral:rRNA from 1 species
UAUCAAAGCCUCGCAUGCGAACCGCUAACCGAACUUUAUAAGUUCACGCACGCGCAUGGCAAGUUAACGAUCGCGCGCAGGUGGUUGAACAAACUAACCCCUCGCUCACUUGCGGUAUGGUGGCUGGAUGACGGUUCGUUGAUAGUUAACAGCCGUCGUGGCGUGCUAUGUACCGAUCCAUUCUCCUAUGAAGAGCAUAAAUUACUUGCCCGCUAUCUAUUGGUAGUGUGGAAAGUCAAGGUCUCAAUCGGCUCUAUUACGAGAAACCGCGACGGCAUCGCUAAGACAUAUUAUCGUCUUUGGAUCCGCUCGAGCGAGGAAUUGCAAAAGUUCCUGCGCAUAAUCCUGCCGUAUGUUCCCGUGCCCGCAAUGUUGCCUAAAGUCAUGCUUCUUUAUCGCGAUUCCCAAUUACAGCAACGCUGGAUCUCUGAAGUGAGUUCGCUUACCGGUUUCGAUGAGAAAGUGGUAGCUGAUUAUGCCAUGCAGAAAAAACAGGCAUGGAAGCAAUUCAGAGAAUGAUAUAGUCCGAUCUCCGUAGUAAUACGGAUAAACACAAGGUGACCCUUGUAGUCCACGCCCUAAACGAUGCAGGUUUGCUGUUUCGAGUAUCGACCCUCGGAGCGGCGGAGCUAACGCGUUAAACCUGCCGCCUGGGAAGUACGAGCGCAAGCUUAAAACUCAAAGGAAUAGACGGGGACUCGCACAAGCGGUGGAACAUGAGGUUUAAUUCGACAAUGAACGAAGAACCUCACCAGGGUUUGAAAUGCUUAUUGUAAGCCUUUGGAAACAUUGGCCCUCCGCAAGGACAGUAAGCACAGGUGCUGCAUGGUUGUCGUCAGCUCGUGCCGUGAGGCGUUCCCUUAAUUGGGGUAACGAGCGCAACCCCUGUUUCGUGUUACAAGUGUCACGAAAAACUGCCCAGCCUAGAGGAAGGCGAGGAGCAGGGUCUAGCGUCUAGGGUAAGACACCCUAGCCCCUAACCCCUAGCCCCUGGUUUUCUCCAGGCUGGGAGGAAGGAGGGGAUGACGUCAAAUCCGCAUGGCCCUUUGAUACCCUGGGCUACACUCAUGUUACAAUGGUCGCGACAAAGGGUUGCCAAGCCGUAAGGCGGAGCUAAUCCCAAAACCGCGGUCUUAGUUCGGAUUGAGGGCUGCAACUCGCCCUCAUGAAGCUGGAAUCGCUAGUAAUCGUGGGUCAGCUAUACCACGGUGAAUACGUUCUCGAGUCCUGUACUCACCGCCCGUCAAGCCAAGGGAGCCGGUAAUAGGUGAAGUCUCUCGCAAGAGGGAUCAGUCUAGGAUCGGUGACAUGGGCUAAGUCGUAACAAGGCACGCGUAGCGGAAGCUGUGCGUG